CCAUGAUCCACGUAAACAAAAAUGCCUUCCAAAAAUUUGUUGAUCAAGAUAUUGGUCACUAAUUCCUUCCAAAAUGUCAUAAGCGAAUCAAAAAAUGCGAUCAAUGGAAACAGAUUAUCUAAUUGCUUCGGCUAAAUGGAACCACUUAAUCAGAACCCUAGUGACAUGAUUAAGCAAGUGGUAAACGUAAUUAAGUACGCAACUAAUUCAAGGAAGCAUGCAUCAAUUGCGUCUUCCUCGCUAUUGCUCUGACUGGCCGCCUGGCCGGACAGCUGGUCAUCGGCGUGGCUGCGCACGUUGGCCAUGAGCUUCUCGAGCACCAUGGCAGCUCCGCCUCCACGUCGGCCUCCCACCAGAACUGCAUGUUGGCCUUCGCAUCUAUGAUCUUCUUCGCCACCUCGCGCAACCACGACUUCUCCGCGGCGACUUGCGACCUGGUGUCCUCCGCCGCCCUUCUUAACUCCUCGUGGUGGUGUUGGUCGUCGC
rnacentral:lncRNA from 1 species